rnacentral:rRNA from 1 species
CGUGACGGCGCGAGCAGGUGCGAAAGCAGGUCAUAGUGAUCCGGUGGUUCUGAAUGGAAGGGCCAUCGCUCAACGGAUAAAAGGUACUCCGGGGAUAACAGGCUGAUACCGCCCAAGAGUUCAUAUCGACGGCGGUGUUUGGCACCUCGAUGUCGGCUCAUCACAUCCUGGGGCUGAAGUAGGUCCCAAGGGUAUGGCUGUUCGCCAUUUAAAGUGGUACGCGAGCUGGGUUUAGAACGUCGUGAGACAGUUCGGUCCCUAUCUGCCGU